rnacentral:lncRNA from 1 species
CCUCUCUCACUCACCUCUCUCCUCUCUCUCCUAAUCUCGAUCGCCACUUCUUGUCUAACACAAAGAACAUAUACAUAUUCAAAUGCAAUUUUCAUAAACACGGACGCCAAAUUUAUACAAAUCAGAUGCUCCAUAGCAAACAUAAUUUAGCUAUGGAACACAAAUAGCAUAUUUUAACUAUAUAGCGCUAAUAUAAUUUUUAUCUUUG